UAUUUAUUUAUUUAUUUAGCUUUGCCAACUAGGGCAGGGUCACCACAACGGCAUAUGCCAAUUACUGUGGGCCCUUUUAUACCUAACCCACCCUGUCAACUUUCCCUGUGGGAGGAAACCGGAGUACCCGGGGAAAACCCACGGCUUUCGGCAGAGCGUUGACUUUUACUCUUUUCGCAUGGGGACUGGGUUCGAGUCGCACUGAGAAGGUACUUAGUGAGACUCGAACCUGCAGCCUCAGAGGUGAAAGGCAAGUGCGCUAACCGCUUGGC
rnacentral:lncRNA from 1 species